CGUAACGCGUAUGCAACCUGCCCCCAACCGGGACAAAACAGCUGGAAACGGCUGCUAAUAUCCCAGUGGUCACUUGGAAGGGCAUCCUUCCGAGUGUAAAGAUUCAUUGGUUGGGGAUGGGCAUGCGUAUUAUUAGGUAGUUGGCGGGGUAACGGCCCACCAAGCCGACGAUGAUUAGGGGUCCUGAGAGGGUUAACCCCCACACUGGAACUGAGACACGGUCCAGACUCCUACGGGAGGCAGCAGUAGGGAAUAUUGGGCAAUGGAGGCAACUCUGACCCAGCCAUGCCGCGUGAAGGAAGACGGCCCUAUGGGUUGUAAACUUCUUUUGCCGCAGAGUAAACACGGGGACGUGUCCCCGUUUGAGAGUAUGCGGCGAAUAAGUAUCGGCUAACUCCGUGCCAGCCGCUGC
rnacentral:rRNA from 1 species